rnacentral:ncRNA from 2 species
UUCACAUCAGCCGUUGUAAGUUCUGAGAGGAUUAAUAGGGAAACCGGUGUAAAUCCGGUACGAUCCCGUCACUGUAAGGGGGAAUCCUCAGACAAAGUACCACUGGUCGAGUACGUGAGAAAUAGACCGGGAAGGUGUCUGAGGGUAAGGAUCCUAAGUCAGGAGACCUGCUUGCAAUUGUUUUAAAAU